rnacentral:misc_RNA from 1 species
AACGCACAUUGCGCCCCUCGGUACUCCGGGGGGCAUGCCUGUUCGAGCGUCAUUUCAACCCUCAGGCCCACCCGGGUCUGGUGCUGGGGCUUCUCUGCGGUGGACACGCCGCAGGCCCUGAAGGACAGUGGCGGGCCUGCUGGACACCCGAGCGUAGUAGUGACCUCUCGCUAAGGGCUGUCCCGGCGGGGACCCGGCCGUAAAACCGGACACAAGUUGGGAGGGCUUAAACCCCCCCGCACGUGCCACCACCACAAGGUUGACCUCGAAUCGGGUAGGACUACCCGCUGAACUUAA